GAACUCUUGAACAGAUGGUAAAAUUUGCAGUGGGAAAACAAUGACUAAUUGACAUCCAUGUCAGAUUCUCUGCAAUUCACUCAUUUCAGCAGCAAAGACACAAUGUGAUGGUCGUGCGCACUUCUCUGUGGCCGGUUGCAGGUGCACAGCCUUUCUCCAGUAACUUGAAUUGACUUGGGUGGGGCAUUGGAAAUCCCUCUUCUCCUCAUCUGUUGGAGCUAUAACACCAUGGGGAGAUAGGGAGCCUCCUCCUGUGCUCAGCCACUGUUGAAAUAGGUAAGUAAAA
rnacentral:lncRNA from 1 species